rnacentral:rRNA from 1 species
CCUACGGGGGGCUGCAGUGAGGAAUAUUGGUCAAUGGGCGGAAGCCUGAACCAGCCAAGUAGCGUGCAGGAUGACGGCCCUACGGGUUGUAAACUGCUUUUGUCGGGGAGCAAAAGCCGGACGUGUCCGGCUGUGAGAGUACCCGAAGAAAAAGCAUCGGCUAACUCCGUGCCAGCAGCCGCGGUAAUACGGAGGAUGCGAGCGUUAUCCGGAUUUAUUGGGUUUAAAGGGUGCGCAGGCGGAUUUUUAAGUCAGCGGUCAAAUCGUGGGGCUCAACCCCAUCCAGUCGUUGAAACUGGGGAUCUAGAGUGUGCGAGAGGUAUGCGGAAUGCGUGGUGUAGCGGUGAAAUGCAUAGAUAUCACGCAGAACCCCGAUUGCGAAGGCAGCAUACCGGUGCACAACUGACGCUCAGGCACGAAAGCGUGGGUAUCGAACAGGAUUAGAUACCCGGGUAGUC